CUUGCAUGAGAAUAAGGAGGAAACUGGAGCUUCACCCAGCCAAGAGCUGGAUGAAGCCUCGUCUCCAUGACAGCGAAGGACACGCAGCCCUUCAGUAUUGUGGAUGAUUCAGGGCAUUUGUGUCCAAACUGGAUCCUCAUCAUGUUCUCCCUACAAGGCAGGCUCUGCAGGCCGUGGUGGAGGCUGAGUAGGAGUCAGCUAAGGAGAAGGCUAAAGUGGAAAAGGUGGCUGCUGUUAGCCUUACUUCUGACAUGUGGACAUCCAUCAGUAUGGAUGCCUACCUGGCUGUAAGGUGCCACUUUGUGGGGGAGAAAACCACACUCGGUUCAGUGCUUCCCCCGAUCACACACUGCUGAACAUAUAGGUCGUGUGAAAGCCUCCCUGAUGGAGGAAUGGGGAAUCGAUCAUAAGGUGACGUGUGUGGUCACUGAUGGU